GUCUAAUGUUUUAAGACUCCUUUUUGUUGAGGGAUUGCGUAUUGAUUGUUCGUCCUUCUCUCCGGUUGAUUUCAUGCCGCAUAUGGAUAAAUCUUGAUUUUUUUCUGUUUCAUUUAUUGUAUUGAUGAGGUGGGCUCUGUAUAGUGGUGAUUUAUCUUGCCAGCUUGAUGAUUUGUACCGAUUUUGCUGCAGAGGUCAUAUCUCACGCUUAGGGCAGUGUUUCUAACGCUCCAGGUACUAUUAAUAACUUCUCCC